rnacentral:rRNA from 1 species
AAUCAACGCUGGCGGCGUGCCUCAGACAUGCAAGUCGAACGCGAAAGUUCCCUUCGGGGGCGAGUAGAGUGGCGCACGGGUGAGUAACACGUAGGUAAUCUACCUUUGGGUGGGGAAUAACAGCCGGAAACGGCUGCUAAUACCGCAUAAUGCAGCGGCUCGACAUCGAGACAGUUGUUAAAGCGGGGGAUCGCAAGACCUCGCGCCUAAAGAGGAGCCUGCGGCGGAUUAGCUUGUUGGUGAGGUAAUGGCUCACCAAGGCAUCGAUCCGUAGCCGGCCUGAGAGGGCGGUCGGCCACACUGACACUGACAUACGGGUCAGACUCCUACGGGAGGCAGCAGUCGGGAAUUUUGGGCAAUGGGCGCAAGCCUGACCCAGCAACGCCGCGUGAAGGAUGAAAUCCCUCGGGAUGUAAACUUCGCAAGAACAGGAAGAAUAAGUGGGGGACGAA